rnacentral:rRNA from 1 species
UACAGAGGGUGCGAGCGUUAAUCGGAAUUACUGGGCGUAAAGCGUGCGUAGACGGUUAUUUAAGUCGGAUGUGAAAGCCCCUGGCUCAACUGGGGAAGUGCACCCGAAACUGAAUGGCUUGAGUGCGAAAGAGGGUCGCGGAAUUCCCGGUGUAGAGGUGAAAUUCGUAGAUAUCGGGAGGAACACCGGUGGCGAAGGCGGCGACCUGGGUCGACACUGACGCUGAGGCGCGAAAGCGUGGGGAGCAAACAGG